rnacentral:rRNA from 1 species
CUGGCUCAGGACGAACGCUGGCGGCGUGCCUAAUACAUGCAAGUCGAACGCGUCUCCGUUGAUGAUUUYAGGUGCUUGCACUUGAAAGAUUUAACAUUGAGACGAGUGGCGAACUGGUGAGUAACACGUGGGUAACCUGCCCUUGAAGUAGGGGAUAACACUUGGAAACAGGUGCUAAUACCGUAUAACAACCAAAACCACCUGGUUUUGGUUUAAAAGACGGCUUCGGCUGUCACUUUAGGAUGGACCCGCGGCGUAUUAGCUUGUUGGUAAGGUAACGGCCUACCAAGGCGAUGAUACGUAGCCGACCUGAGAGGGUAAUCGGCCACAUUGGGACUGAGACACGGCCCAAACUCCUACGGGAGGCAGCAGUAGGGAAUCUUCCACAAUGGACGAAAGUCUGAUGGAGCAACGCCGCGUGAGUGAUGAAGGGUUUCGGCUCGUAAAACUCUGUUGUUGGAGAAGAACAGGUGUCAGAGUAACUGUUGACAUCUUGACGGUAUCCAACCAGAAAGCCACGGCUAACUACGUGCCAGCAGCCGCGGUAAUACGUAGGUGGCAAGCGUUGUCCGGAUUUAUUGGGCGUAAAGCGAGCGCAGGCGGUUUUUUAGGUCUGAUGUGAAAGCCUUCGGCUUAACCGGAGAAGUGCAUCGGAAACCGGGAGACUUGAGUGCAGAAGAGGACAGUGGAACUCCAUGUGUAGCGGUGAAAUGCGUAGAUAUAUGGAAGAACACCAGUGGCGAAGGCGGCUGUCUGGUCUGUAACUGACGCUGAGGCUCGAAAGCAUGGGUAGCGAACAGGAUUAGAUACC